rnacentral:SRP_RNA from 1 species
UCGUGCUAGACGGGGAGCUAGCGGUGCCCUGUACCCGCAAUCCGCUCCAGCGGGGUUGAAUUCCCGUCCGAGGGCGUUCUCCAUGCGAACUACCGGCGUGAAGCGGCGUUGAAGCCUGGGUCCCGUGCGGCGAAGCACUACCGAACCCCGUCAGGUCCGAGAGGAAGCAGCGGUAGGUAGAGCGCUUCGGGCGCCACGGGGCGGCCUGGGUGGAGCUGGCUGACGACGGCAAGCGCAUGGGGGCGUUCGACGACGGGUGCACGG